rnacentral:rRNA from 1 species
GUAGUCCACGCCGUAAACGAUGCAUACUCGCUGUCGGGUUCGCUACAGAACUCGGUGGCUUAGCUAACGCGGUAAGUAUGCCGCCUGGGGAUUACGGCCGCAAGGUUAAAACUCAAAGGAAUUGACGGGGACCCGCACAAGUGGUGGAGCAUGUCCAUUAAUUCGAAGAUACGCGAAGAACCUUACCUAGCCUUGACAUCCUGGUAGACUUUCCCUGAAAGGGGAGGGGCAUUUAGUUGGACCAGAGACAGGUGUUGCAUGGCUGUCGUCAGCUCGUGUCGUGAGAUGUUGGGUUAAGUCCCGCAACGAGCGCAACCCUCGACCUUAAUUGCCAGCAUUCAGUUGGGCACUUUAAGGUAACCGCCGCGGAUAACGCGGA